rnacentral:rRNA from 1 species
GACGAACGCUGGCGGCGUGCUUAACACAUGCAAGUCGAACGGAAAGGCCCUGCUUUUGUGGGGUGCUCGAGUGGCGAACGGGUGAGUAACACGUGAGUAACCUGCCCUUGACUUUGGGAUAACUUCAGGAAACUGGGGCUAAUGCCGGAUAGGAGCUCCUGCUGCAUGGUGGGGGUUGGAAAGUUUCGGCGGUUGGGGAUGGACUCGCGGCUUAUCAGCUUGUUGGUGGGGUAGUGGCUUACCAAGGCUUUGACGGGUAGCCGGCCUGAGAGGGUGACCGGCCACAUUGGGACUGAGAUACGGCCCAGACUCCUACGGGGGGCAGCAGUGGGGAAUAUUGCACAAUGGGCGGAAGCCUGAUGCAGCAACGCCGCGUGCGGGAUGACGGCCUUCGGGUUGUAAACCGCCUUCGCCUGUGACGAAGCGUGAGUGACGGUAAUGGGUAAAGAAGCACCGGCUAACUACGUG